rnacentral:lncRNA from 1 species
UGACAAACCACAACUGUUAAUGAUAAAAAACAUACAUCACUGGGAACACAGCAAUUUAUGCCAGGUUCCACAUUGAACAUAACAAACAAUUAAGAGACUAAGGGCUGUUUGACUGGUCAACUGUUCUUAUGGGGCUGGUGACUUCCAGGUACAUCUUUAGCUGUAGAACAGUUUCAGUAGCUGUUAUGUAAGUACAUACCGAUUACUAUUAACUUUAUAUGUUGUUUGAUCGCAUACCAUCUUGUCAGGACUCCAUCAACCCUUAACUAUUUAAGGAUUGAUGGUAGUAUAUAUUAAAUUACUUAUAUACCAAGCAAUUCCCAUCAGAUUGAUCGCUCCCAAUGGCAAAAAUGUCUCAGUUUACAUGCUAUAGUAGACUAUUGAGUUCAAUACUAUACAGUUGUUUGGCUUUAUUGUAUGUGAUUAAAACCAAGACAAAGUUGUUUUUUAAGUUUUAUAUAAUAUGUAUAUGUACAUGUCUCUCGUUUUAUGAUUUCCCUAACAACACACAACAUUCCAGGAAUGUACUACCAAAGUUCUAUCAAUAUUUGAAUGUCCUGGACAUUUAGGGAACAUUCGGUGAACAUCUGUUUAAAUUAUUCCUGGAAUGUUACCAUAAGACAUUCUGUGAACAUACUACCAAUGUUCCUAUAUUUUAAGUUGCGAAAUAAUACAUACGUGUAACAGAUACAACAUUACUUAUAACAUACCAGACAAACUAAGUGACACUUUAGGCCUACAGUGCAAUAAUAUGUCAAAUUUAAAGAGUUUCCCAAGUUCAAUUAAUACAAUAUAUAAACAUACAAAUGUAAUAAAAAUUAUUGUUCGCGAAUAUUCAAUUUGGAAUGCGAUUUUGUUAAUAAAAAAAAUACUUAUAACUUAUGCAAAACCCAAGAGAGGCAUUUAUAUUUAUUUCUUUUGCGUUCAUUUUCAAAUUCGCCGUGCAUAUAUUUUUGUGCAUGGCGCUUGAGAGGGCAUCACGUGACUAAAAACGACCAACCAACGACCUCGCUUCGGCCAUCUUGGCAUCUUCAUCUUGGCCACCUUGCUUUGCCGUGGGUGGAUCGUUGUUUUUAUUAUUUGUGCUUUUUAAGAAUAUUUUUUUAAUUCGGAUACUUUUAUAAUAGCUUUAAUAGUAUUAUUAACAUAGUGAAUAAAAUGGUGUCCUGUUUUUAACGCAGUUGGAGUAGCAGAAACAAAUGUAGAUAAAAAAAUCUGCAGGAAUAACGUUUCAAUUAUGACAGAAGCUCCAAACAAAUGACUGUGAAUGAAAAGCCCUAUUAAAAGCUUUCCAGAAGAUCCUGCGAAGAAGACAUGAAGUAUAGAUCAGAUUUGUUAAUAGAGGACUAUGUUCAAAACACUUUUUAGAAAAAGAUAUUGACAGAACUUCACUUUCAUCUGUUCGUUUAAGAGACUGUGCUGUUCCAAUAGCUUAUGUCACACAGAAUCAGCUGAGAGAAGUGGUCUACAAAAAACCAGAAAGGAAACGGAAUAUGUGGCUACGAAAAGCAAAAGAAAGGUUUACAAAGCAAAUGUGACACAUUUUUUAUAAUAUUUAGGAAUGUCAGUAAAUUACAUUAAAAAAUGUAUGUAAAGAUUUUUUGCAAUAAAAAUGUUUAUAUUUAUCAAGGAU